UGGGGAAUAUUGGGCAAUGGGCGAAAGCCUGACCCAGCAACGCCGCGUGAGGGAAGAAGGCUUUCGGGUUGUAAACCUCUGUCGCAGGGGACGAAAGAAAUGACGGUACCCUGUGAGGAAGCCCCGGCUAACUACGUGCCAGCAGCCGCGGUAAUACGUAGGGGGCGAGCGUUGUCCGGAAUUACUGGGCGUAAAGGGUGCGUAGGCGGCGACGUAAGUUGGAUGUGAAAUCCCCGGGCUUAACCUGGGUGGUGCAUCCAAAACUGAGUCACUAGAGUGCAGGAGAGGGAAGCGGAAUUCCUAGUGUAGCGGUGAAAUGCGUAGAUAUUAGGAGGAACACCAGUGGCGAAGGCGGCUUUCUGGACUGUAACUGACGCUGAGGCACGAAAGCGUGGGGAGCAAACA
rnacentral:rRNA from 1 species